rnacentral:rRNA from 1 species
GAUGAACGCUGGCGGCGCGCCUAACACAUGCAAGUCGAACGGCACCCACCUCCGGGUGGAAGCGAGUGGCGAACGGCUGAGUAACACGUGGAGAACCUGCCCCCUCCCCCGCGAUAGCCGCCCGAAAGGACGGGUAAUACCGGAUACCCCGGGGUGCCGCAUGGCACCCCGGCUAAAGCCCCGACGGGAGGGGAUGGCUCCGCGGCCCAUCAGGUAGACGGCGGGGUGACGGCCCACCGUGCCGACAACGGGUAGCCGGGUUGAGAGACCGACCGGCCAGAUUGGGACUGAGACGCGGCCCAGACUCCUACGGGAGGCAGCAGUGGGGAAUCGUGCGCAAUGGGGGGAACCCUGACGCAGCGACGCCGCGUGCGGGACGGAGGCCUUCGGGUCGUAAACCGCUUUCAGCAGGAAAGAGAAGAGACUGGACCUGCAGAAGGAGCCCCGGCUAACUACGUGCCAGCCGCCGCGGUAA